AGGGGUUGUACGAGAGAUUGACAUGUAGCAGGCUGGUGAGGUUGGCCAGGGAUGGCGAGAUGCACCCUUCAAGUCCUUUAGAUCCCAGGGAUACCUCAGUAACGGCCUCAUCUUCAUUGCAGACGACGCCUUCCCACUUGCAGCAGUUCGUGCUGUUGUCGCGCCAUGACGUGGCGAGGCCACCAUCUCGCGAUAGCCCGGCUAGGAACCGGAGCAGAUUAUGCUUCUCCUGCUCGGUGCAUGCGGUGGCGGGAGAGGCCAAGAUGUGCAGCACCACGAACAGCACAACUGGAGGAACGGUGAAGGAAGGCAUUGGCCGGUGUUUGUUCUCCUCCUUGUUUUUCUGUUGCUUGAAGAAUGCACACGGUGCUGGUACUAGCUAUCAUUUAACAGGGGCUUUUAUUUGCACAUCAGAGCUACUGAACACCAUUCAUAAGAUUCCUUAUUUCAUGUCAUGGGUGCAGCUUAGCGUCCUGGGCCACGGUCGGUUGGUGCACAAAUGCAAUCAAUCAGGGGUGAUACGGGCGGAACCCUAAAACUGCCGCUAGGGUCUCCCCUUCGCCGCUGCGGGAGGAUGCAGCCGAGCUAAGCCCAUGGCGCGGAUGGCGGAGGCGGCGUUCCUUUCCUUGUGGCGCAAUGGGCGAUCCCUGCUCCGAGAUGAUGGCUUGGCUUGCUCAGGGGCGGCGGCGUUGCCGGCUGUGCUCCAAGACCAGGGAGUGUGGAGCGACACAAGGCGUGUCGGCUCCAGAUCUGGUGGCUGGGUGUGUCCAGGACUCUGUCCCUGGCCGGCGUAGAUGUUUAGUUCUCCAGACUAAAGUCUUGCUGGAUGCCGGUGCUGACAACACCUUCCAAGGAGUUCUGACACCUCUCCCUUCCUCGAUGUCUUGUCUCCCAGUGAAAACCAAGAUCCGCCUUGCCAGCUCGACGAUGGCGAUGCCUUUGGCAUUGUUACUUUGGUGAAUCGUCAUUUUGGAGACUUGACCUCUUGGAGGGAGCACGUUUGUGGUGUCGUGGCUGGAGCCAUCGGUAGUGCGGCGUCUGUGAUGUUGUGUUCGUCUGGGACCGGCGGUGGUCGGCAAUUGGAGCACUCCUGACUUGCGGAUGCCGUCGGGCGAGUACGAUUGGUCGUCCUCUUGGGAUUGGAGCGGCACUUGUCCGGUUCUCUUUAGACAUGCCUUCUCUCACCAGCGUCAACGAGGUUGUCGAACAUGCUUGUGGCAGGCACGACCGAUGCGACAGAUUGGAAUGCUCUUUGAGGAUGUUGUGGCUAAGUCAAAAUCGUCGGGUCAUGAGCGCGACUAAUGAUGUAUGAUGAUGUCGCGUUCGUCGGCAAUGUGCUUUCUAUCUGUGUUGUGUUCUCAGGCCUUUUUUCAUUCUCGUAUAUGUUGUGGUACUUUAGACCUAGUUUAGCUAGGUGUGGUGUGCCUUUGCGCAGGUUUUCACCCGAUUUUCCUCAAAUAAACCGAGCACUUUCAGC